rnacentral:lncRNA from 1 species
CAAGGGGCGCACGAGGCCUCCCCGGCAUCCACGCAGAGCGCUGGAGAGCCAGUGCCUUCUAUUGCGCCUGCGCGAGAGGAGGGCGCAAGCCGCCUGCUUUCAGUGACUCCUCCCACCAGCGGCUGGCGCUCUAGGCACGUGUGCAGCCUACGCUUUCCG